AUAGCAGUAAAGCAGUUCAUUGGCGUUCAUACCACUUGGAGAAAUUAACAAGAUUCUAUGUUAAAAAUAACAACAAGAUACAGAUAAUACUAAUCGAUUUAUGCAAUAUAGCAGUAAAGCAGUUUAUUGGCGUUCAUACCACUUGGAGAAAUUAACAAGAUUCUAUGUUAAAAAUAACAACAAGAAACAGAUAAUACUAAUCGAUUUAUGCAAUAUAGCAGUAAAGCAGUUCAUUGGCGUUCAUACCACUUGGAGAAAUUAACAAGAUUCUAUGUUAAAAAUAACAACAAGAAACAGAUAAUACUAAUCGAUUUAUGCAAUAUAGCAGUAAAGCAGUUCAUUGGAGUUCAUACCACUUGGAGAAAUUAACAAGAUUCUAUGUUAAAAAUAACAACAAGAAACAGAUAAUACUAAUCGAUUUAUGCAAUAUAGCAGUAAAGCAGUUUAUUGGCGUUCAUACCACUUGGAGAAAUUAACAAGAUUCUAUGUUAAAAAUAACAACAAGAAACAGAUAAUACUAAUCGAUUUAUGCAAUAUAGCAGUAAAGCAGAUCAUUGGCGUUCAUACCACUUGUGGAAAUUAACAAGAUUCUAUGUUUAAAAUAACAACAAGAUACAGAUAAUAAUAAUCGAUUUAUUUAUUAUUUAUGUAAUGUUUAAUUGAUGUAAGUCAUACUUAAUUUAAUAGCAGACAAAAAAUUAGAAUUUGUUAAGAAUUUUAAUAUUUAACAUGAUAAAUAAAUUUAGUUUGUAAUCUUCUUAUUUUCUUAUUGGGUGCUAUGUGUCGUCCCAAAGUAUUUAUUUUUUUUUCCAAAUGUCAAAUAUGAACUUAUUGUCAUUAACACCAUAAUCAAAUUGCUUAUGCUGUGGAUCUCUUUUCCUAAUUGGGCUGCGUGUCGUCCCAAAGUAUUUAUUUUCUUUUUCAAAUGGUUCGACGGGAUCCCAGGCUUUUGGGGGAUGACCAAAAUUUGGGUCGCUGUACCCUGCUGUUGUUGUUGUUGGAUCUGAGAACCAACUGCACCUCUUCUUUCUGAAUUUUUCACCCAUCUCUUGUAAAUAUAUUCAUUAAUUAUCAUUAUUCAUUUUUAUGAAGUGAUGUAUAAAAAUAUGACAAUAUUACAUAAGUAGGUAUAAAAGCGAUAGUUACUUGCGCGCCAAUGUUAAUAAAAAAUAAAUAAUCAUUUACAUAUUUCAUAUUUAAGAGUAUGUUAGUGCAAUAUUUGUUUUUUCUCUCAUACCCGCAUGCAACAUAUUAUGUAAUAAGUUUUCACCUAAAAUUGUUUUUUAUGGCUGAGUUUAAACGAUAAAAAUCACAAUGAUUGCAAUUGAAAAAAAAAAUUUUCACAUCUACAAAAUAGUAUUUUAAUUGAUGUUCCAAUUUUAAAUCUAAACAAAAUGCAACUAUAUGAAUAAUUUUAAAAGGGUUCAAAUCGUAUUAAAAAAAACAAGAUAACACUGGACACAUUACUAAUUAUCAACACAAAAUGUUACCAUCUCAGUGAAAUUCUAACAACUAAAAACAUGACGAUCAAACGGGCACAAAUUAACUUAUUUAAUUUUAAUUUUUGUUAUUUUUAUUAUUUUUUUUUUUUGAUAAUAUUAUUCACAUCACAGAAUCAGACUUAUUAUUGGUUAUUUAAAUAUUACAAUUUAUUAAUAAAGGAACAAAGAAUUUGUUCAUAUUAUGAGUAUUAUUUUCU